ensembl:lncRNA
UGAUGUUGUAUCAUGUCUGCGUUGUGGAGGUUGUAGUGAUGUCUGUGUUGUGGAGGUUGUAGUGAUGUUGUAUCAUGUCUGUGUUGUGGAGGUUGUAGUGAGGUUGUGAUGUUGUAUCAUGUCUGUUGUGAAGGUUGUAAUGAUGUUGUAUCAUGUCUGUGUUGUGGAGGUUGUAGUGAUGUUGUAGUGAUGUUGUAUCAUGUCUGUGUUGUGGAGGUUGUAGUGAUGUUGUAUCAUGUCUGUGUUGUGGAGGUUGUAGUGAUGUUGAAGUGAUGUUGUAUCAUGUCUGUGUUGUGGAGGUUGUAGUGAUGUUGUAGUGAUGUUGUAUCAUGUCUGUUGUGGAGGUUGUAGUGAUGUUGUAUCAUGUCUGUGUUGUGGAGGUUGUAGUGAUGUUGUAUCAUGUCUGUGUUAUUUAGGUUGGGGGUGUUGUUCACUCCUCUGCUUCCUGCUGUACAGAUCAUCAAACUACUGCUUCUCUUCUACAUGAAGCAGGUAGGUUCUCCUCUGUUCUGAUCACUGUGCCAUGAUCACACUGGUAACUUCUCUUCUACAGGAAGCAGGUAGGUACACCUCUGUUCUGAUCACUGUGCCAUGAUCAUACUGGUAACUUCUCUUCUACAGGAAGCAGGUAGGUACACCUCUGUUCUGAUCACUGUGCCAUGAUCAUACUGGUAACUUCUCUUCUACAUGAAGCAGGUAGGUACACCUCUGUUCUGAUCACUGUGCCAUGAUCAUACUGGUAACUUCUCUUCUACAGGAAGCAGGUAGGUACACCUCUGUUCUGAUCACUGUGCCAUGAUCAUACUGGUAACUUCUAUUCUACAUGAAGCAGGUAGGUACACCUCUGUUCUG